CCAUUAGGGCUGCAAUGCGAUACAUUUCUAUUCAGAAGUAAGCUCCAUUGGGUUCAGUGGAACUUACUCCCAGUGAACUGAUGGAUCUACAAGACAUUUCAAAAUGCAGAUGCCCGCUGAGAGAGAGAGCCUCAGUUCUACACAUUUAUAUAAUUUGUGGAAGCACAUGAAAAUAUCUGGAAAGGCAUCAACACUCUAGGAAAACACUUGGGGCCAGGUUCCGCUAUCAUUUUCACACAUGUAUUCCAUUGACUUCCAGUUCCAUUACAUACGUAUAAAUUGAGAGCAGAUGCUGCUAAAAAAGGUAUUGCUAUAAUUUUGAUGGUCGUGGUAUUUGGACAAGACAACGAAGAGAUUCUUCAAGCUAUUUCAAACUCUUUCCCUUUGUACAUGAACAUUUGCACUCAGUUUCUGAGGCAGGAGUGGAGUUAUGGAGGAGUCCGCUACUGGCUAAAUACUGUGCUAUUAUAAGACUGAUAUCUAGUUUGUAUGGGUAGGGCAGGUUUGUGCUGAAGCAACGCCAGAUCACAAUAUUGGCUUUGAACAGAAGAAUGUUAUGGGGCAGAACAGUUGACUGAUGUUCCUUCAUUGUCCAUGAAUGUCUUUUUAUGGUGACCCACCUUGCCAGCCCUCUCCGGAAGAUGUAACCUAGAACUCUGUGUGAAAAGAAUAACAGAAGUGUUUUUGGCAUAGACCAAGAUAAAAUUGGAGACGAGAGAGAGAGAGAGAGAGAGAAAGACAGAGAAGGGUCUGUAAACUGAAAGUAUCUCUGAUAUUUGGGUUAGUGAGUUUGUUCCUUUGUAGGAAUGCUAUGCUGCCUGUUUCCAUCUAUGCUCAACUUGUACAUCGGUCAAUAAAUCCAAAUAUUACAUAAGAACGCAAGAAGAACCUCACUGGAUCAGGCAACCGAUUUAGUCCAGCAUUUUGUUCUCACAGUGGCCGACCAGAUGCCUAUGGGAAGCCUGCAAACAGGACCUGAGAGCAACAGCACUCUUCCUACAACUUCCCAGCAACUGUUGGAAGGUAUGGAAGAAGAGCAUAGCUAUCAUGGCUAGUAGCCAUCGAUAGCCUUAUCCUCCAUACAUUUAUCCUUGAAAACGCCAUCCAGUAAUCUGGAAGGCAGGCCAGAUGCCAACACGCCUGAUGACUGGCCAGCUGUGCCUUGUGCAGUCCAUUGAUGCUGGCAAAUCAUGCCACCCAUUCAGAAGCCACAUGCCUAUGCAGUGCUGGACAGAUUGCUCCUACCUUGCAUCUCUCUCAGAAACCAAAGCAUCUCAGAGUGAGAACAACGCUUCAAAAUGUUAAAAAAUGGCAUCUUCAUCUCUGUUUCACAGCACAUAAUGGGAAGAAUGGAGGAAGUGAAAAUACUAGUCAGCUGUGCAGCAGCAUUGUGUGACACAGAUUUCUAGGAUGAAUGAGGGAAAUAAAACUUUCUAGACUAGAUUCUCUAUAGAAACAUUAGUAACACAGGAAAGAAGCAAAGUAAGAAGAACACCAACAAAUGUACAAAAAUGUAAUUCUCCAUCUUUGGAGAUGGCAGGUGUUGCCACCACUCACCAUAUGCUCAGAGGCACAUGAAUUCUUCCAAGCUACACAGCAAGUGGAUUGGACUGUGAAAGACCAACGCAAAUUGUGUUUGCAUUUUGACCAAUUUGUAGGGCAGUCCAAUAUCUCAACGAGGAGGUCAGGUCUCCUGCUCUCCUGGUGCAUUCACUAUAGCUGCCCAAUUUCCCUGCUUUUUAAAGUUUGAUAGAAAUAUCUGUGGGCUAUAGGUAUGUUCUUAAACCACAAGGUUUUUUGCCUAUUAGUGAAUACAUAUAUGAUUUGAUUUGCUGUUUGUUUCUGUUUUUAAACACUCUAAUUAAAAAAUAGAAGUGAUAUUGUUAUAAUGAGAGGCUAAAGUUGGUCAUGGUCUGCUAUCUCAAGACAUACAGUCCAUUUCAGAAGAACUGGUGGUAUACCAAUGAGGUAAAAUUAUUUUUCAUGUGGGGCACUGCAAAGAGUACCAUAUGCCCCACAGCUGCUUAGCCUGUACUAGAAACUGGGCUUUUAGAGUUGCAUCUCCAGCUCUCUGGAAUCAAUUGCCAGCUGAAAUCAGACAGGCGCUUCGUGUGAUGUUGUUUAGGCAUCUACUGAAGACAUUUGUCAUGACCCCUGUAUCCAGCAGUGAUCUGGACACAGAGUCAGAGACUGCAGGGCCACCAGAUGGGGAGCCUGGUCAGACUCAGAGCUCAGAACUGACUGCUGAAGAUAGGGAGACCAUUGCAUGAGGCUGUUGGACAGGAAACCUUCCAGAUCACCAGGGCCUACAGGGUCAGAGCCUGGACCCUCACAGGCACCUUUCCCUGAGCCUGAAGAACCAGAUACCUCCCACCUCACAUCACUGGUCCAGCAGCACUGGGAACACACCAGGAGGGAGGCUAUGGAACGGAGGAGGAGUGCCCGUUUUCAGGCCAGAGGAAAGGCUCUGAAAUUCUCUCAGAAGAAUGGAGCCUGGAGGAGGUAAUCUGGAGACAGAGGCAUAAAAGGCCUCAGUCUGCUCCCAACCUUUGCUGGAACAAGUUGCUUACUUGGAGCCCUCCAGCGUCACCACUUUCUCUGUGGGAUCUCACAUCAGACCAGAACACAACACCAUUCACCAGUAGUUUAUGGAAUGAUCAGUUUUAUAUCUGAUGAAAUUGUUUCGUUGUUUUUGGAAUUUGUAUGGAUUGUUUUAGAGAUUGUUGAACUGAUUUUAUUAUUUUAAGAGCUUGGGU